GUACGCCCUAGCCCGCCAUUUGAAAAGCAAGUUUGGUCUUCCCAACACUCUUCAUCAGAAAGACAGAAGAGCCUUGAAGAUGCAAGAGGGACCUGUGGACACCACCAGACACACCUCAUUCCCUUGGAAAAUAGGGAGCUUGGACAAUUCUGUCUCAGCAAAAGUUUUUUUGAGUAGUCAUCUCAGCCUUUCAGAUAUAAGCUGGGGUGGGGAUGGGUUAUACUGAGCAGCACCUGGUGCAGGAAAACAAGUGAGCAUGUCUGUGUGUGCGCAUGCGCACAUCAGCAGGAGCUGGGGUGUUGGUGUGCAAGAUAUUUCAGAAGCUAGCAGCAGUAGCAGCACUUGGGAAGUUGAAAUGCUGAAACCUGUGAAUCAGUCCAAGUACAAAGCUCCCAGUUUCUAAUUUCGUACCUGUUUCCAACACCUUGAGAAGAGUCAAUCUGUGCAGAACCUCAUGCUGCUGGCAUUUUUGAUACUUGCUCCUAGGAGGAUGCAAUAAUAGAGGUGUCUCAACCAUUGAUUUCUUUGAGAAGAUACUAUGUCAUCAAUAACUUUGAGCCUGCUCUAGCAACCCCUCUGGAACUUUUCAGUGCUCACGUUCUGAAACACUCAAUAAACAACUCAAACGUCCAUCUUCUGCCCGCUAUGCUGGAAGACUCUAGAAAAGCCACAAGAAAACAGCCAAGAGGUGGGGUGAAGCUCUGAGAACUAACUGAAGAACGACUCCUCUGCGGGGUGUUAAUACCCUGCAAAGAAGCGAAUCUACUGGCAUUUUUUUAAAAAAAGAGUUUAAUAAAAAUAUAUAUGCACCAUGAGAAAAUCACAGCAAUAAUUCCUUGCACCUUUGUUCCAUGAAGCCCAAA